AAAAAAAAAAAGUAAAUAAUAAUAACCCUCUUUUUUCUUUUCCACUUCCCAGCAAUUACUUUUUACUUAUCUUCCAGUUCUUCCGAAUCACAGCCAUCAUUUGAUGAUCAGCAUCAUCAUAAGAAAGAACAGAAAUCACAGCAAAACUUAAAAACCCAUAUGAUCACACAAACUCAUUAAGUAAAGCUCUCGAGUUCCACAGGAACUAAUACACAAGUUGGCAAACACAAUCAAGCAUCAAUCCCACACACAGUAUCAACAAUCAUUACCAAUAAAAAGAACUGAAAAAAAUAAAAAAAAAAGUACCUGAAAAUCCCCAUAACCCAGGUAAGAGCUGCGCCGGUCGUGGGGAGCAGAGAGGGUAUGAAUUUGAAAACACGGAGACAAACAAAGGAAAGCAAUCCCAAUAAUAUAUUUUAUCUUGUAAACAGAACAAACCACCUUAUGAUUGGAACACUGACACCAAUCCAAAAAUAAUAACAAUAAAAUCAAAAUGAUUUGGAUAAAAUAAUAAUGCAACUUAUAACAACUCCUACUACUAUUACAGAUAUUAUUAUAUCAUAUGAAGUUUUAAUUAAGCUUGUCAAUUAUUCUUAAGAAUCUCAUUCUCACGUGUGAAAUGAAAGUAGAACGUUCUUUCAACAACAACAAGUGGCGAAAGCAGAAGGUGGUGGUUGUUGGUUUUCUUGCUUAAGAGUGUUCAUUAGACCUAACCACCAGUUGGUGAACCUGUAACCCGCGCUUAAGCCUUCUUUUAACGCUUAAUACUUGGCGCUUCU
rnacentral:lncRNA from 1 species